rnacentral:lncRNA from 1 species
CUGAGCUCUUAUGUAGUCAGAAGAUCAAGGGACUUUUGAGAUCUGCUUUGUCAUUUGGGCUUCAGAAGGUUGCUAUUCAAUUAAUCCUGAAGUGCAUUGGACUCCACUGCUUUGAAUCACAAGGGAUUAAGCUCGGAAGACUCUGCAGUUCAAGUGCAUUUUGAUCAGUGACUGAUCU